rnacentral:lncRNA from 1 species
CCUUUGAAACACUUUUGUACUCCUCGGAUAGUGAUAAAGAUCGUGUUGAUGAACACUUAGAUCGAAACGUGCUUGACUGUCCUAUUUUAUUUAUUGAUGAUCUAUCUGUUUUGAUGGUUGAUAAAAAAAUUCUUGUUUUUGAUAAUGCAUGUGUGAGUGAAUCUAUAGACCGUCGAUUAAUGCAUGGUAUGAUUAUGCAACUCUGUGAACCAUGUGAAUCUUUUCAAAUACCUACUUGUGACGAUUAUGUUUACCAUUUGAUUUAUUACUUGCAAUUUAUUCAUGGUUUGUGGGAACAAUGUGAGACGACUGAAUGCCUUAAAACAUGUCCAUCUUUGUUUCAAAUAGUUGACGAGGCAGUGGUGAGUAAAUUAGAUUGUUUGCAUGGUAAUCUGAAUCUGUCCAUUCACAUGCGUUAUACCUGUUCUGUUAUGCUUAUGAUUGGACUACAAGCUUGUUUCCGUUGCUAUUUACUAUCUCAUGGCUAUUCUUCUCAGUGGACUCAAUUGCCAUUAGUCCCGUUCGAUAGAGGAAAGUCGAGUUCAUUUGAUUUUUCAGAUUCGAGGACGAAUCUUUUUGAGGAAGGGGGGAAUGAUACGAGUCAAAAAGCCCAAAUUCUUGAAGGCGAGGCCCAAUAAGAAGAUUCUAAGCCCAAUCAAGAAAUCCACCCAUACUUAGUUGAAAAUCAGGCCAAAUUGUCAAAGUGGCCCAAGUUGUAAAGUUUUAUUUUUAUUUAUUUAUUUAUUUAUAUUCAGUCCAAGAGUCCCAAAUAAAAGACCCUUGGCCGAAUUUCCAUAUUAAAAUAAUUAGGAGUUUUUUUUUAGUUUUAGUUUUAGUGUUCUAAUUAAAUUAGGAAAACAUUUGAAAGGCCUAUUUAUAUGGCUUGGCCAGCCACCCUACACUACAUUACAGUUACAUUGAAAAUUUCAGAUUUGAUUUGAGUGAAAAUUCUCUUUGAGUUCUUCAAGGAUUUUCUCUUGAGUUUUCUUUAGAAGUUGUUUUAACAAUCUUUUUGAUUGUGGGAGCCAUCUUCAACCUUCUUCUUGCCAUUGAUAUUCUUUGGAGGGGAGAUUAGAGCCGUUUGAAGGGAGUUGUGAGAUCUUUCGGGAUUUCAAGGCUUCUUAGGACUUAUCUUUUAAUUUCUUACUGUCAAUUCUUUCUUUAUUUCUGCUUGUGCCGAAUCUUUAUCUAAUUUAUUUUCUGUUCUUAUUGUGUUUUCAGCCUUUUUCUAUCUUAAGGAAUUAGCCCAAAAAUCCCCAAUUUCUAGGGUUCUUGUCGAUUCAUCCAUACUCUUUUUGGGAGAAAUUAGAUUGCCAAAAUUUGGGGAAAACUAUCUGGGUGUUCAAUUGGGCAGAAUCGCAAUCUCUUCUAGGGUUUCAAGAUUUCUUAUUAACACUUAUUUCUAUUCUCUAUUUGAUUCUUUACUGUUUUGGGGAUUUUAUUUCGGAUCUGAAAAUUCAAAAAUCUAAUCUUUUAAUUUUCUGUUUUGUUUCAGAUCUAAUUGUUUAGGGUUUUCGUAGGAGUUUCUCGUGACUUGGCAACUCGAUCUUGGUCUGCGCGCAACCCCGUAUCAUAAGAUGUUUACAAAUUGGGCCCUUUGACAUUUUGGCCUGAUUUUCAACUAAGUAUGAAGAAAUUUCUUGAUUGGGCUAGAUUUUGGUUAUUGGGCCUCGCCUUCAAGAAUUUGGGCUCGUGAUCCAUCUCCUACCAAAAUUGGGUCGUUGACACUCGUAAUGGAGAUCUAAUGCAUUUUGGCUGCAAGAUUUGGUUUCUUGGACCAAGAUUUCCAAGAUUUGAAAUCUUGAUUUUCUUAAUUCUUGAAAUCUCUUUGAACAGAAAAAUUGUGCCAAGAUUCGGUUUCUUGAUUUUCUUGAAAACAAGAAAGUGAAUCUUGAUUUUCUUGUUCUCUCGUGUAUGCAUCUAAAGACUUGCUAACAAGCUCUUGAAUGGUCCCAUUUAGUUUGGACCGCAUUUGUCGGGCCUUUGAUCUCGUUAUUGGGCCUUGUGGCAAUUUGAGCCCAUCACGUUCUUGAACUUCGAUUGGGCCUUUAUGACUCGUAUCAUCUGUUUUGGUGAAUAAAAAAAGUUUUGAAUAUAUGUUGGUAUGUAUGCGAAAAUCCUCAUGGUUUAACUUGAUUGGUUUAAUGAAAUCUUUGUUACACUUCGGCAUGACUAAUUGAUGUGAUCCGGCUCGAUUGAUUGAGUCGGGUUCACUUAAGAUGCCCGAUCGUCGACGAGAAGCUCAUUCAAAUUUGUAGAUAGAUGGAGUUUGAAUGUUUUAUAAGCGGAAGGUAGGCAAAAUGGGUUCAAAGGAUGGGUUUUGGUUUGAUGAAAGAUAGGUUCGGUUUAACAAAGAAUUAAGUUACAAAGAUGAUAAAUAAAUGGAAAUGGAUAAAGAACUCAAACUUUAAGAAUGAUUCAAUACUAAAAAGUAUUACCCCGAGUCUUAUAUUGCUUAAGGUGAAUUUUGAUGAAGGAUAGAAGCGGACCUUGACCCGUUACCUAUAUGGAGGUAAGAACCAAAGGUAUAGGAAGAUGGUUGAAUGCCACACCGAUUCGGUGAUAAGUUCAAUGGAGUUCGGAUUGACACCACUAGCAAGCUAGAUAAGUCACUUUGAGACUCGAACGAAAGAAGAGAGGAGGUAACCUCACAAGAACAAAAGUUCUAUUAAGUUUAAUUGAUCAAAUUCUGUAACCUUUUACAAUAAACAAAAUAAACUAUUUAUAGGCUCUCUAAUGCCUAUUAAAAUUCAGCUACUAAUGUGUUCACACAACAAUAAAAAAUGUUCACACUUCAAGCAUUAAAUCUCUGUUCAUGGAUAGUGUAAGUUCAUGCAUGGUUGAAUAAUCAUGUUUCUUCCCAAAACCCGUUCAUGCAUGCUUAACCAAUAAGAAAGCUUCCUUGUUCCAUGAAUGUGCAUCUUCAAUUCAUAUCCAACCCCUCUUGGACGAAUGCUAGGUGCAUGGGUCAUGCAUCUCUCUUAAUUAAAGCUUUAAUGAUGGGCUGGUUCAUGAAUGGAAGCAUGUACCUUGUAAAUUCGUUCUCCUCUUUGUACAUGCACAUUAUACAUUCAAUGUGAUGAAUUAAGGUAAUAUUCCCUCCCUUUGGAUGUUCAUGAAUCCACCCAUACAUGUAUAGGAGCUGAUUGGUCAAAUUGAGGUGUGAAUGGCUUAGAUGCUGCCUUGGGAAUACGAUCGGCCAAGCUUGUGCUUUAAGUUGCUGGACACCUUUUGGCCAAAUAGGUGCCUUGGGGAGCCAAAUGGAUCAGCCACCAUUCAUUGAAAGAGGCCUUACAUGCACCGUCCCAUACAUUGAACCUAUCAUGCAUGAACCUUGUUUAAUUACUCUCCAAAUUCAGCUCACCUACAAAAACACAUGAACCAAAAUUAAAUCACAUAAAAUUCAGCUGAACAAACAUUAAUAUAAUUUAGAUACACUAAUUAAACAUAAAUUAAAUUAGACAAAUUUAAUAAAGUCUUAACAAGACAUAUUAAAUUCGGCCAAGACACAUUUAAAACAUGUAAUAAGUCAAAACAUAAUUAUAAGCUGUAGUAAUUUAAGCUAAAUUAAUAAAUUACUUAAUUUAUUCAGACAUUAAAAUAAAUGAGUUGAAAUAAACUUAAGCCAAGCUCAAACGAGCUAAAGUAAGCUAAAUUGAGCUCAAACGAGCUAAAUUAAGCUCAUGUGAGCUAAAUCGAGCUGGGAAAAACUAAGAUUAAGCUUGUUGAGCUGAGAUUGAGCUUCAUCUUGCACUUGGGGCCCUCGUGUUUUAGGCCAAUCAUGAUAGCAACGAGUGGUGCCACAACAUGAUGCGAUUGAGAUAACAUCACUAAUCAAAAUCAAGUUUUUAAACCCGAAAUCUAUUUUGGUAUAUUUUGUUGGAAAAUCAAGCAUCAUCUAUUGUGAUGCAACCUUAGCCUGGGAAAUUACUACCGAAUCCAUUGAGCUGCCACGAGGACCAAUAACUCGAUCACGAGCUAAGAGAUUCGGGUCAACAAUUCCCUUAUUUGUUGGUUCAUUCUCGGUCUUAUCCAAUUAAUUUGUUAUUGUUUCCUAUCUAUUUUGUUUAUUACCUUUGUUUGAAGCCAUUAUUUCUAUUUUGUUUCCUUUAAACCGAAACGAUUCUAUUCUACUCAAUUCACGAUCGGGCAUCACUAACGACUCGAAUCAAUCACGAAACGAGUUCGUAUCAUAUUGUGUGCAAAUACUUUUUAUUGUUUUGAUACUUGGUUUUUGAAUAAGGUAACGAAAUUUGCCAAAUUUGUUUUCAAUUUAUAUUCGUGCCUUAAACAGUUUCUGUGGUUGUACAUGAAGUUUGAGUUCCAUUUGACAAAGGUUAACUCAACAAUGGAGCUUCGACUACUGAUACGAGUUACAAAGGCCCAACCCAAGCUUAAGAAGGUGAUGGGCUCAAAUCAAGAAAAUCAAGAUUCACUUUCUUGUUUUCAAGAAAAUCAAGAAAUCAAAUCUUGGCCCAAUUUUGCUGUUCGGAGCAAUUUCAAGAAUCAAGAAAAUCAAGAUUUCAAAUCUUGGAAAUCUUGGUCCAAGAAACCGAAUCUUGCAGCCAAAGCGCGUUGGAUCUCCAUUACGAGCGUCAACGACACAAUUUUGGUAGGAGAUGGAUCACAAGCCCAAAUUCUUAAAGGCGAGGCCCAAUAAGCAAAUUCCCAGCCCAAUCAAGAAAUCCAUACAUAUUUAGUUGAAAAUCAGGCCAAAAUGUCAAAGGGCCCAAUUUGUAAACAUUUUAGUUGUUUAAGUUAAUUUUUUAAGUUUUAGGAAUAUGACAUGUUAAAUUCGGCCCAAAACAGCCCAAUAGGAUGCAUGGCCGAAUUUUCCUUUGUUUUUUUAAUUAAGUUUAAAUUUUUUAGGUUUUCUAAUUAGAUUAGGAUUUGUUGGAGGCCUAUAUAAGCAUUGGCCAGCCACCCUUUGUAAACAUCUUAUUAUUAUUUUUUCUAUCAAAUUUCAGAUUUGUUGAGUGCAGAAUUUUCUUUGGGGUUUUCUCCAAGAAUUCUCUCUUGAGUUUUCUUUAGAAGUUUUUUUAACAAUCUUUUGAUUGUGGGAGCCAUCUUCAACCUUCUUCUUGCCAUCGAUAUUCUUUGGAGGGGAGAUUAGAGCCGUUUGAAGAGAUUUGUGAAAUCUUUCGGGAUUUCAAGGAUCUUUAGGACUUAUCCUUUAAUUCUUGCUGUUUUCAAUUUCUUUCUUUACUUUUCUUUGCUUAUACUUGUGCCGAUUUCUCAUCUAAUAUUUUGCUGUUCUUGUCUGUUUUCCAGCAUUGAUUAAACUCAAGAUCUCAUCGUUUAAGUUGUUCUCCUAUUGGCAGCACCCAUUCGAACCCAAAAAUCCCCAAUUCCUAGGGUUUGGCCGAUUGGAUUUCUUUCAAUUUGGGAAUCAAUUGAUUGAUGGAAAUUGGGCAUUCUUGGCCGAAUCAAUUCCUUGGCAGAUUCGCAUCUUUUCUUUCUUCUCAAUUUCGUUUGAUUCAUCGAUUCUAGUUCUUUUCUUCUUGCUGCUCUUUUAAUUGAAUUUGGGAAUUUUAAAUUCAAAUCUGAUUCGGUUUAAUCUUAAUCUUUGUUUUUGAUUUCAGAUCUGUUCGUCUAGGAUCUUUCGUAGGAGUUUCUCGUGACUUGGCAACUCGAUCUUGGUCUGCACACAUUCCUUUAUCAGUUGGUAUCAGAUUUUGGAUGUUUUGGGUGUUUUUGGUUGAUUUCUAAACUGAUCUCUAUUUUUUAAAGCACAAACAGCAGUUUUACCCAGAAAAAUUGUUUGAAAAAAAUUCAUUUGAUUGGGUAAACAUUGUCUGAUUGAUCUAAAAUUUUACAUACAUAUUUUUGGCACUGUUAUUGAAUAUAAAAAAAUUAAUCCCGAAAAAAAAUCAGUCAAAAAGGUCAAAAAAAUCAAAAAAUACGAAAUUCAAUAAAAAUUUAAAAAAAGAUUCAGCGGGUUGAAUUUGGUGCCCAAAAUUUCCAGAUAAAAAAAUCAAUAUUUAAGGACAUUCCAGAUUUAAUUUCGUGAUUUUUAGAGAUCAGGAACACUUCGAACGAAGUUGUCAAGUUACUCUGUAGUUUUUCGGGUUUUCUGUUUUCAGUAAUUUUUAUUGAUUCUUAGCUGUAGGUUUUCAUUUGUUUGCUUUUAUUCUUCCGUUACGUUAUCUAACACCUUCUUGUUUCUUGUGUUAGUAGGAUUUACACGUGUGCACAACUCCUUCCUCGGUGCAACACGAAUCACUUGGUGUCUGUCAGUUUUUGGCAUCCUAGUGCAAAUUAGGAUUCUUUGGUAGUUUGGUUCACACUCUCUAAUUGGUUGAUAUAAACUCUGAUAAAGAACUCACAAGAUUGAAUUCGACCUCAUUGAGAAUUUGAUUUUUCUUUUUGAGUGAUUAAUGGUGAGGUUUGCUAACUUUUAUUUUUGAGUGUUGAGUGUUUAUUUUUUACAGGUUUUGAAGAUGUCUAAAGGUGAUAAUAAUGAUGCACUUAUGAAAGUCCAACAACAGUUAGACGGACAUACUGCUGCAAUCACACAAAUAAAUGCUACACUUCAAGCAUUUAAUACUACUUUUAAUGAGGUAUGAGUGAAUAAAAAACAUCAAUAUCGAGAUCCAAUUAAGGAAGAUAGGGAUAACCAGCCCUAUAGGUGCAGCCCUCAAGUGUCCCUAGAAUGGAUGAUGAUUUUCAUGAUCGUGGACAAUCAUCUUUGGCAAAACCAAAGAGCGAGCAGCAACGAGAACAUCUCUUUCAUACUCGCUGCCAUGUACAAGGUAAGCUUUGUAGAGUUAUUAUUGAUGGUGAAAGUUGCUCGAACAUAGCCAGCACGACGAUGGUGGAAAAGCUUUGCUUAACCACUACCAAGCAUCCACAACCUUAUCAACUACAAGGGCUUAGCAACGAAGGCCAAUUUAGGGUCACUCAACAAGUGCGCGUCGCCUUUUCUAUCAGUAAGUAUCAAGACGAAGUUGUGUGCGACGUAAUGCCUAUUCAAGCCUGCCAUUUGUUGCUAGGAGAACCAUGGCAACUGGAUCGAAAAGUCACUCACGAUGGUUGUACCAAUAGGUAUUCUUUCAAGCAUCAAGGAAAGAAACUCACCUUAGUACCGCUCACUCCGGAACAAGUCCAUGAGGACCAAAUCAAACUGAAAAAUUCUGUUAAAACAAGUGAGGAAAAAGAAAAAGAGAAUGAAAAAGAGCAAAAAGAGAUUGAGAGUGAAAAAGAAAUUGAAGAAAGAAGAGAAAAUGAAUUAGAAAAAGAAACAAAAGAAUAAGACGUGGAAAGGGUAGUGAGGAAUGUUUCCACUAACCAAGAUAUGAAUUUUUCUUGUGUUGCUACUUUUCAGGUUCCCGAAAGAUCGAAAGAUAACUUUCAACUUCAAUACCUCUCAAAUGAAAGACGCUUUCAUACGAUCAACUUAGGCAAAGAUGAAAUCACACCACAUGAUCCCGAAGGUAAGCGAGGUAAGGAAAUUUUAGAAACCGAGUCCAGUGCAGAUUUGAAAAUUAUUGAUAAAACUUUUGGUGACUUAGUUCUUAAAAGAUCCCCUCAUUUUGAUCCGAUUAAUUGUUACUCUUCGAUUUUGGUUGAUAAAGUCAUUACGAAAAGAAGCGUGAUUUGUUAUUCUCUUGAUUUACCUUGUGUAAAAUCCUUGAAUUUGUCCAAAUCUGUUUUGGAGAAUAAGGUAACGAAAUUUUCCAAAUUUGUUUUCAAUUUAUAUUCAUGCCUUAAACAGUUUAUGUGGUUGUACAUGAAGUUUGAGUUCCAUUUGACAAAGGUUAACUCAACAACGGAGAUUCGACUACACUAUGCCCCCGAUGAGCGAAGGUUUGCUUUAAAUGAAAAAGGUAAAAUCAACCCUUAUUCUUUUGCUUAUCAAGGUAAGAUGCUUGAAACUUUUGAAACACUUUUGUACUCCUCGGAUAGUGAUAAAGAUCUUGUUGAUGAACACUUAGAUCGAAACGUGCUUGACUGUCCUAUUUUAUUUAUUGAUGAUCUAUCUAUUUUGAUGGUUGAUAAAAAGAUUCUUGUUUUUGAUAAUGCAUGUGUGAGUGAAUCUAUAGACCGUCGAUUAAUGCAUGGUAUAAUUAUGCAACUCUGUGAACCAUGUGAAUCUUUUCAAAUACCUACUUGUGACGAUUAUGUUUACCAUUUGAUUUAUUACUCGCAAUUUAUUC